ensembl:lncRNA
CAAUAUUUCAGAAAUGUCAAGCAAUGUCGAACUGCACAGCCAAUCGCAUCGAAGCGCUAUGACAUUUGGACCAAUCGCGUCGAAGCGCUAUAACAUUUUCAGCCAAUCAAAAAGCGCAAUUCAUAACAUUCUCUUAACAUUCGUGACAUUUGACCAAUCAGAGAACAGGGAGAUGUCGACGGCACGUUUCCGCGUUUCACCGCUAGGUGGAGGGGUCAGCGCUUCUAGUCAGGUGUCAAUCAAGUUGCCGAACCAUGCCGAAGGUGUACGAAAGAAUGACAUAAUCCCCAGGGGGCGUGUCAGAGGUCAAAAAAGUUCAUUACUGAAGUUCAUGACCUACGACGAGGGUCAUUGCCGCGGAGAUCAGCAUCAUUUUUACGGAGGACAGCGAAACUUCAUUUUAAAACUAAAUACAGCGGUAUUACCGACGACAACAGGUAAGAAAUUGUCAUCUAAUUACAAACUUCUACAUGUUUUAUUAUUUUUUUAUUUUUUUUAGUGUGUCGUUUAAUUGUUCAUUUAAAACUGUUUCAUUGAAGUCAAGAAAAAUGUCUGGCAAACAACAAAAAUCACAUAAGGCGAUGUCGGACGCCGAAUGGAUUUCGCGUUUAAAAAAGUUUGCCAGUACAGGAAUUUGGCCAUCAAAUGAGGGUAACAGGCCAGCUCCUCGACAGAAAAAGUGGUACGAGAUUUAUCAAAGGAUUGAGAAAUGUCCGAUGCUGUCUCGUGGCCAAACAACCUUGCUUGGAGGUGUGCUGAAAUGCAUCUGUGGUUUUCACAUUCCAAAGCAGCCCACUGCCUCUACUGGACCAGCACAAAGGGUGGUGGAACAACCUGCUGCUGCUGAAACAGCAAAGAAGGCCAUGGAGCGGAGUCAGCCUGACCCCCAGCCUCAUCCCCUGCCCCAGCCCCAGCCUACUGCACCAGUGGAAGCAAGAGUUGCACCACAAUUUUCAACGGUAUGAAAUACUUUUUUUUUUUUUUUUUAAUAGGACUGAAGUACGAGUUCAGUUCAUAUUGGAGGAAGUUCAGAAAGUAACAAGAAACAAAGAAAAAGCAAGAAUGCUAUGAGAUGCUGGCUGACACCUGCUAAUUGUCACACCUCUUGUACAGUGGGGGCAGCUGUUGUCUACUGAUUGGUCGGUUUGAAUAUCUCAGCUAUGGUUUAAGUCACAUGGUCAAGGAAAAAUGAAGAAUGUAACCUGUGUGCUUUCUCUCUUUCAUCUCUGGGCUCUACUCUUGGAUUGUCCUCUAUCUCUCUAACUGAGCUCUGCCUGGGUUGAAGGUCACUGAGCUGGACUCAUGUCCCUCAUGGCAUCUCUCUCUAUACUUCUCAUGUGUUAAAGCUACAUUUUCUCUUUUUCAUUCUCUAUCUCAGGUAACAUUCCACAUACAUGCUGGCUAUUAUUAAUUGUACACAUGCUAAUAAUUAUUCCAUCAUGCAAAUACUGUGUACUGUAGUUAUUUCAAGAGUCAGUACUGCUAAUAAAUCAUCCCUCUUAUGGACGACACUUCCAUUCAGAAAGAAGUGUUUUUGAAGGCUGCAUUUACUUAAAAUAGUAAUAUUAAUAUAAAUAGUAAUGCAUGCUAUUAUAACACAUUCUGUCUUCUCACCUUUUUAGUUUACCAAGCCAAGAUUUACUGGCUCUCACCUUGCUGCAGCAAAGCCAAAUCUUAGUUUGGCCAGGAGACCUUCUCAGGUUGAAGACCAGCCCAGCGCAGCAGUGUCUAGUGGCUCUAUACCAAGCACCACUGCCUCUGUAAGUAAUGGCAUAAUCUGUAUUGUAUUCUAUAAAGACACGUUCCACGUUCCAUUCCAUAUAAAUUAUUUAACUCUUUAAAAUAUUUUUAAUACCAGAAAACCAUAUUUUAAUAAAGAAAAAAAUCAAUAUUUUAUAAAUAGAUUUCAUACAAACUACCAUUCAAAAGUUAUUGAUAUUAAUAUUGAUUAAAAUAUUGAUACUUUUACUGAAAAAGGAGUCAUUAAAUUGAUAAAAAAAAUCUCAGUAAAGACAUUUAAUGUUACAAAUGAUUUCUAUAAAUUUAUUGUAAUGUUAUUAUGUUAUAAAUUAUGUAUGUUAUUAAUGUUAUUAAUGUUAUGGUUUCUCCCAAGGUUUUUUCUCCAUUCUGUCACUGAUGGAGUUUUGGUUCCUUGCCGCUGUUGCCUCUGGCUUGCUUAGUUGGGGACACUUCAUUUACAGCGAUAUCGUUGACUUGAUUGCAAAUUAUUGCACAGAUACUAUUUAAACUGAACUGAGCUGCAUGAUGACAUCACUGAAUUCAAUGAUGAACUGCCUUUAACUGUCAUUUUGCAUUAUUGACACACUGUUUUCCUAAUUAAUGUUGUUCAGUUGCUUUGAUGCAAUCUUUUUUGUUUAAAGCGCUAUAUAAAUAAAGAUGACUUGACUUGACUUGUUAUAUUUACAAAAUCUAUUAUAUUUUACUUCAUGAUUGUACAGACACCAGAUCCUCAAGUUCCAUGCCCUGUCCCCAGAGCCACUGCAGAUGUGUCCAGUCCCGCUCAGCCAUGCAAUAUUGUCUCAGUAAGUAACUUCCUAUUCUGUUGGUCCUUCAAAAAUGUAAUUAAAUCAGCUGUUGCCAGACACUUAAUGGAGAUGUGAAAAGGCUUACAUGGCCUUUAAACUAAAUAAC